AGUGAACGCUGGCGGUAGGCCUAACACAUGCAAGUCGAACGGCAGCACAGUAAGAGCUUGCUCUUACGGGUGGCGAGUGGCGGACGGGUGAGGAAUACAUCGGAAUCUACUUUUUCGUGGGGGAGAACGUAGGGAAAAUUACGCUAAUACCGCAUACGACCUACGGGUGAAAGCAGGGGAUCUUCGGACCUUGCGCGAGUGAAUGAGCCGAUGUCGGAUUAGCUAGUUGGCGGGGUAAAGGCCCACCAAGGCGACGAUCCGUAGCUGGUCUGAGAGGAUGAUCAGCCACACUGGAACUGAGACACGGUCCAGACUCCUACGGGAGGCAGCAGUGGGGAAUAUUGGACAAUGGGCGCAAGCCUGAUCCAGCCAUACCGCGUGGGUGAAGAAGGCCUUCGGGUUGUAAAGCCCUUUUGUUGGGAAAGAAAAGCAGCAGGUUAAUACCCCGCUGUUCUGACGGUACCCAAAGAAUAAGCACCGGCUAACUUCGUG
rnacentral:rRNA from 1 species